CAAAGGCCACAAUAGAAUGUGUUUAUUUUUCCAUGGAAACCAAGUCAUCUGUGUAAGGUACCUUAUAAAAACUAUCAAUUGAGAAAAAAUGAACAAUGUGAGAGUUGUGAGUCAAGUUUUAUUGGGGACAAAAUGAAGACUAUAGCCCAGAAGACAGCAUCUUGGAGAGCUCUGAGGAUCUGCUCCAAAGAAGAAGCCAUCCUAUUUGUGAAUGCAAAAUACUGCAAGCCAUAUCAGAAAACAAAGAAUGCUGAAGCCAUCACGUCAUCAGACACUGUCACCCCCCAGUGAAGACAAGCCUGCAGCCCAGCCUCUGCAGCCACUCACCAUGGUGCACCCUGCAGGGACUCACAAUAAGAAAGGACAGGAUACUGGCCCUAGAUAGCUAGGUGCUUGUCAAAGGAAUGAAUUCAAUGAGCCCC